GGAGUCUGGGCCGUAUCUCAGUCCCAAUGUGGCCGUUGAACCUCUCAGUCCGGCUACUGAUCGUCGCCUAGGUGGGCCGUUACCCCUACCUACUAGCUAAUCAGCCGUAAGCCCAUCUAUUAGCGGAUUACUCCUUUCCCACUAGAACCAUGUGGCUCUUAUGGCAUAUGCGGUAUUAGCAGUCAUUUCUAACUGUUGUUCCCCUCUAAUAGGCAGGUUGCUUACGUAUUACUCACCAGUCCGCCACUAAAGCCAUUGUUAUAAAUCUUCUUCAAGUCCCUUUGAACAAGUUCUCCGUUCUUAUCUAAAUCAGUAUAACGACUUUCGUUCGACUUGCAUGUCUUAUGUGCGCCGCCAGCGUUUAUCCUGAGCCACUGAUCAAACUACU
rnacentral:rRNA from 1 species